CUACGGGAGGCAGCAGUAAGGAAUAUUGCACAAUGGGGGAAACCCUGAUGCAGCAACGCCGCGUGAGUGAAGAAGGCCCUUGGGUCGUAAAGCUCUGUCAAUGGGGAAGAAGUUACUUGGUAUUAAUAGUGCCUUGUAUUGACGGUACCCAUGAAGGAAGCACCGGCUAACUCCGUGCCAGCAGCCGCGGUAAUACGGGGGGUGCAAGCGUUAUUCGGAAUUAUUGGGCGUAAAGGGCACGCAGGCGGUCCUGUCAGUCAGAUGUGAAAGCCCGGGGCUCAACCCCGGACGUGCAUUUGAAACAGCAGGACUUGAGUACGGGAGAGGAAAGGGGAAUUCCUGGUGUAGAGGUGAAAUUCGUAGAUAUCAGGAGGAACACCGGUGGCGAAGGCGCCUUUCUGGACCGAUACUGACGCUGAGGUGCGAAGGCGUGGGUAGCGAACGGGAUUAGAUACCCGAGUAGUC
rnacentral:rRNA from 1 species